rnacentral:rRNA from 1 species
ACUCUGCCGCACCAUGGUUCUCUUGUUCGCGAGGAAAGAAUUCGGUGGGAUUGACUCCGCGGCUAUCAGUGUGGUGAGGUAUGAUCACCAGCUACGAACGGGUAGCGCUGAGGAGGGUGACGCCACACUGGACUGAGACACGGCCCAGACUCUACGGGAGGCAGCAGUGGGGAUAUUGCACAUGGGCGAAAGCUGAUGCAGCAACGCCGCGUGAGGGAUGACGGCUUCGGGUUGUAAACCUCUUUUAGUAGGGAAGAAGCGAAAGUGACGGUACCUGCAGAAAAAGCACCGGGCUAACUACGUGCCAGCAGCCGCGGUAAUACGUAGGGUGCAGCGUUGUCCGGGAAUUAUUGGGCGUAAAGAGCUCGUAGGCGGUUUGUCGCGUCUGCUGUGAAAUCCCGAGGCUCAACCUCGGGUCUGCAGUGGGUACGGGCAGACUAGAGUGCGGUAGGGGAGAUUGGAAUUCCUGGUGUAGCGGUGGAAUGCGCAGAUAUCAGGAGGAACACCGAUGGCGAAGGCAGAUCUCUGGGCCGUAACUGACGCUGAGGAGCGAAAGCAUGGGGAGCGAACAGGAUUAGAUACCCUGGUAGUCCAUGCCGUAAACGUUGGGAACUAGAUGUGGGGACCAUUCCACGGUCUCCGUGUCGCAGCUAACGCAUUAAGUUCCCCGCCUGGGGAGUACGGCCGCAAGGCUAAAACUCAAAGGAAUUGACGGGGGCCCGCACAAGCGGCGGAGCAUGCGGAUUAAUUCGAUGCAACGCGAAGAACCUUACCAAGGCUUGACAUAUACCGGAAACGUGCAGAGAUGUGCGCCCCGCAAGGUCGGUAUACAGGUGGUGCAUGGUUGUCGUCAGCUCGUGUCGUGAGAUGUUGGGUUAAGUCCCGCAACGAGCGCAACCCUCGUUCUAUGUUGCCAGCACGUAAUGGUGGGAACUCAUAGGAGACUGCCGGGGUCAACUCGGAGGAAGGUGGGGAUGACGUCAAAUCAUCAUGCCCCUUAUGUCUUGGGCUUCACGCAUGCUACAAUGGCCGGUACAAAGGGCUGCGAUACCGUAAGGUGGAGCGAAUCCCAAAAAGCCGGUCUCAGUUCGGAUUGAGGUCUGCAACUCGACCUCAUGAAGUCGGAGUCGCUAGUAAUCGCAGAUCAGCAACGCUGCGGUGAAUACGUUCCCGGGCCUUGUACACACCGCCCGUCAAGUCAUGAAAGUCGGUAACACCCGAAGCCAGUGGCCUAACCGCAAGGGAGGAGCUGUCGAUAUGGUGUAUUCCGAGUUCU